AGUGAACGCUGGCGGUAGGCCUAACACAUCCAAGUCGAACGGCAGCACAGUAAGAGCUUGCUCUUACGGGUGGCGAGUGGCGGACGGGUGAGGAAUACAUCGGAAUCUACUUUUUCGUGGGGGAUAACGUAGGGAAACUUACGCUAAUACCGCAUACGACCUACGGGUGAAAGCAGGGGAUCUUCGGACCUUGCGCGAUUGAAUGAGCCGAUGUCGGAUUAGCUAGUUGGCGGGGUAAAGGCCCACCAAGGCGACGAUCCGUAGCUGGUCUGAGAGGAUGAUCAGCCACACUGGAACUGAGACACGGUCCAGACUCCUACGGGAGGCAGCAGUGGGGAAUAUUGGACAAUGGGCGCAAGCCUGAUCCAGCCAUACCGCGUGGGUGAAGAAGGCCUUCGGGUCGUAAAGCCCUUUUGUUGGGAAAGAAAAGCAGCAGGUUAAUACCCCGCUGUUCUGACGGUACCCAAAGAAUAAGCACCGGCUAACUUCGUG
rnacentral:rRNA from 1 species